UGGGGAAUUUUGGACAAUGGGCGAAAGCCUGAUCCAGCAAUGCCGCGUGUGUGAAGAAGGCCUUCGGGUUGUAAAGCACUUUUGUCCGGAAAGAAAUGGCCCUGGUUAAUACCUGGGGUCGAUGACGGUACCGGAAGAAUAAGGACCGGCUAACUACGUGCCAGCAGCCGCGGUAAUACGUAGGGUCCAAGCGUUAAUCGGAAUUACUGGGCGUAAAGCGUGCGCAGGCGGUUGUGCAAGACCGAUGUGAAAUCCCCGAGCUUAACUUGGGAAUUGCAUUGGUGACUGCACGGCUAGAGUGUGUCAGAGGGGGGUAGAAUUCCACGUGUAGCAGUGAAAUGCGUAGAGAUGUGGAGGAAUACCGAUGGCGAAGGCAGCCCCCUGGGAUAACACUGACGCUCAUGCACGAAAGCGUGGGGAGCAAACAGG
rnacentral:rRNA from 1 species